UAGAUUCUCCAUAGCAGUUCUAUAUUUCAGUAAUUCAUCUUAAACCCUAAAUCUGACAAAGGAAAUUACUCAGAUAUGAUCAAACAAAGGAUAUCAAUAAUCUGAAUAUAAUGCAUGAAUAGAAUAAGGUAUAAAAACUGAAGUUCCAAUACAAAAUCUCUAAAUGAGUUCUUGAUAUUUUCUCCAAAAGCUACUAAGUUAAAAAAUAUUAUGUUGGUAAAUUGUAUAAAUGUGGUAUGUUGCUUAAACAAUGGAAAAAUGUAUAAAUACUAGGUAUAAAGUCGGCCAGGAGAAAUCUUG
rnacentral:lncRNA from 1 species